rnacentral:rRNA from 1 species
GACGAACGCUGGCGGCGUGCUUAACACAUGCAAGUCGAACGAAGAGCGACGGAAGCUUGCUUCUAUCAAUCUUAGUGGCGAACGGGUGAGUAACGCGUAAUCAACCUGCCCUUCAGAGGGGGACAACAGUUGGAAACGACUGCUAAUACCGCAUACGAUCUAACCUCGGCAUCGAGGAUAGAUGAAAGGUGGCCUCUACAUGUAAGCUAUCACUGAAGGAGGGGAUUGCGUCUGAUUAGCUAGUUGGAGGGGUAACGGCCCACCAAGGCGAUGAUCAGUAGCCGGUCUGAGAUGAUGAACGGCCACAUUGGGACUGAGACACGGCCCAGACUCCUACGGGAGGCAGCAGUGGGGAAUCUUCCGCAAUGGACGAAAGUCUGACGGAGCAACGCCGCGUGAGUGAUGACGGCCUUCGGGUUGUAAAGCUCUGUUAAUCGGGACGAAAGGCCUUCUUGCGAAUAGUGAGAAGGAUUGACGGUACCGGAAUAGAAAGCCACGGCUAACUACGUG